GACGAACGCUGGCGGCGUGCUUAACACAUGCAAGUCGAACGGAAAGGCCCUGCUUGCCGGGUACUCGAGUGGCGAACGGGUGAGUAACACGUGGGUGAUCUGCCCUGCACUUCGGGAUAAGCCUGGUAAACUGGGUCUAAUACCGGAUAGGAGCCAUUUUUAGUGUGAUGGUUGGAAAGUUUUUUCGGUGUAGGAUGAGCUCGCGGCCUAUCAGCUUGUUGGUGGGGUAAUGGCCUACCAAGGCGGCGACGGGUAGCCGGCCCGGGAGGGUGGACGGCCACAUUGGGACUGGGAUACGGCCCAGACUCCUACGGGAGGCAGCAGUGGGGAAUAUUGCACAAUGGGAGCAAGCCUGAUGCAGCGACGCCGCGUGGGGGAUGACGGCCUUCGGGUUGGAAACUCCUUUCGCUAGGGACGAAGCUUUUUGUGACGGUACCUAGAGAAGAAGCACCGGCUAACUACGUG
rnacentral:rRNA from 1 species